CAUCAAUCCAACCUCUCACACCCGAGUUCAACCUGUAUUCUUAUGGACUGCUUAGUGGUCACCUGGAAGGCCUACAUUUCUAAGUAAGCAUGUAGAAGAGUACAAAUGCUACACAAGCUGCGAUGGUGACAAUUCUUUUGAAUGAUGCUGAAGUAUCUUCUGUGCCUUCUUCCAUCGCCUUGACCAACAAGUCCAAAAAGUGGUACAGAUCCUGGCUUAGAGCCUCAUCUUCGUUCAGCCACAGCUACAUCAGGCACUACUCAAUGUCCUGCCGAACUGGAGAUUUCCCCGACUCCCUCGUCCUCCAGGCUUACCUGUCAGAUGCUCUAAACCUACAGAGCCUGCUCACAGGGGACAGCAGCUCUCCUCCUGCAAAACCAGCCUUGGUGUGUGUGUGCAUCCUUGGUCUCCUCAGUGGUAAUUGAUUCUUUGCGACCCUCUGGACGGUAGCCCGCCAGGCUCCUCUGUCCACGGGAUUCUUUAGGCAAGAAUACUGGAGUGGGUGCCAUGCUCUGCUCCAGGGGAUCUUCCCAACUCAGGGAUCAAGCAAACCCACGUCUCUUAUGUCUCCUGCGUUGGCAGGCGGGCUCUUUAUUGCUAGCGUCGCCUGGGAAGCCAGCCAUCCUUGGUACUCAGCAGCUUGUUAAGGGAAGCCCCUUUGAGGCCGUGAGCUCUGGCUGAGGAUGAGACAGCAGUGUG
rnacentral:lncRNA from 1 species